CCAUUCACUGCUGGAAAAAUUCGUAAUCCUGCUACAAAUUGAGUUCGCCUGCAAAAUCCUCAAAAGGGUCAAGCUCGGAGACAGCCAAAACUCCAUCUCCUCCAUCGACUUCAGGGUGUUGCAGUGUAAUUCCGGUCUUGAAGCUAAGAAGUGGCCUUAGUCAGCCAACACAAUCCAACUGUGGCUCAGUCCAAAUGUGGACGGAUGGAGAGUUUGAACUAAAGGCCCAACAGAAAUAAGAUAAGACAUAAUAACUCCAUUCAUAUGUGCAGUGGUUGACACUGAUUGAGUAACUGUCGUUCGUGUUUUGUUAUAGCUCUUUAUUAGUGAGUCCAAUGCCUCAGGUCAUUAAUUGCAUUUCCCUUAAUUUUUAAUGCAUUCAUACUCUAUUACCUGUGAUUAUUAAAUAAACAAUCUAUUAGUUGUAAA